AACGAACGCUGGCGGCAGGCUUAACACAUGCAAGUCGAACGCACCUUUCGGGGUGAGUGGCAGACGGGUGAGUAACGCGUGGGAAUCUACCCUUCUCUACGGGAUAGCUCCGGGAAACUGGAAUUAAUACCGUAUACGUCCUGAGGGAGAAAGAUUUAUCGGGGAAGGAUGAGCCCGCGUUGGAUUAGCUAGUUGGUGGGGUAAAGGCCUACCAAGGCGACGAUCCAUAGCUGGUCUAAGAGGAUGAUCAGCCACAUUGGGACUGAGACACGGCCCAAACUCCUACGGGAGGCAGCAGUGGGGAAUAUUGGACAAUGGGCGCAAGCCUGAUCCAGCCAUGCCGCGUGAGUGAUGAAGGCCCUAGGGUUGUAAAGCUCUUUCAGUGGGGACGACAAUGACGGUACCCACAGAAGAAGCCCCGGCUAACUUCGU
rnacentral:rRNA from 1 species